CCCAUUCAUAUUUAAAAAUUAAAAUUUAAAAAUUUACUAAAAAAAAAAGGAGUUAACGUAGGUCUAAAAAUUAGUUGAACUCCAUUUCAGUAGUAACAAGUAUCAUGGGGGCAUGAAAGAGAGAUAGAACAUUUCCAGGUAGAAGGGAGGAAAAGGCUUCCAGAAUAAGACACAACUUAGCACAGUGCCUGACAUAUAAGCAGGUGCUUAAUAAAUGUUUAGUGACUUGAAAUAGGCCCUGAAGAGCCAGCAGACAGUCUACAGGUGAAGCUGUUGAGGCACGGGGAGAAGCCUGAGCUAGGGUGUCCUGGGACAGGCAGGUGGAAACGGCUGCUGUGAGAUGAAGCUUGGGGCGAUGCUUCCCAAACUCGGCCUCAGGGGGUCACAGGUCGACAGGCUUUACAGGGGUUCUGGUCCAACCUCGCCCCCUCAUUUCUCAGAAUAGAACAGAGAGGACGCCAUAUCCUCGAAGUCACACACUAAAUGGCUGGGAGAGCCCAGGCAGCUCUCGCUUACCCCACCGGGCUUUCUCCAAAUGCCCCGCCCUUCUGGCAAACCCAGACGCUCGUUCUCCCUCUCCCCCUGCCCCCGGAGUAGCCCCGGCCUCCCGAGGGGCGGGGCUUAGAUCCCCGUGCGCUGCGCUGAUUGGACCUCGAACUUCUCCACACAAGGCUCGGGGCGGAGACUGGGAGUCUGCGGAGUCCAAAGCCCAGGUAAAGAAAUCUCAACGUCAUCUUGCAGUCCAUCACCCAGUCCUCCUGAUUAACACCUGACAAGAUACCUGCAUCUGCCAGCGUGAUUCAUCACAGUAAUUAUUUCCCAAUAAGCCUCUUUGUUUGAAAUGUAAUGCAGUCCCUUUGUCUAUACCAGCACAAAGCCCAGAGAAUGGGUACCCAAGCUCACACAGCCAGGAAAUGGCAGAGCCCAAUCUUCUGGGGCUAGUUCAGUACUCUAUACCUGACUACUUUUCCCUACAUCUUAAAAGAACAGAGAUCAAAGUAGACUAACUCAUUCCUCCCAGGGAACUGCUAGGAUUUAAGCUUAAUGCUGAUGUCAAGGUGAUAAAGCAUCCUUGGUUUAGGAGAAGUCACUUUUAAUCUAACAAAAAUCUUUCAGCAAGUUGAAAUUAUUAUACUAAUUAUUAAAUAUAGUAUUCCCUUUUAGGACUCUUGACCCCAAAUAAAUGACUGCAAUAAUAUUAAUGAAAUUCCAUUAAAUGUUAUUUCUAAAUCAGUCUCCAAUUAAGUCUGUGUACUAAAGUGGAAAUCAUUUCCCAGGUAGCACCAAAAGUCAUCGUGGGAAGAUGCUUGUUCUUAAAUUCAAAGAAACGUUUUGUCUGGAGAGAAUCAAUUCUGUUCAAUUUAUUGAGGUGCCCUUUUCUCUCACCAUCCACAGGCUUAUGUCUUAUAUUAGUCUUUUUUUUUUUUUAACUUCUCCACAGAUAGCAAGUUUCCUGAGGCCAUGGACUUCCAUUCCUUGUUUUUCUCACAGUUCCCAGUACUUUAGGGCACACAGUAAAGUAUGAAGGCCAUUUUUUUUUCCCAAUAGGAAAGAAAUAGACUUUAACUUUCCUGAACCUGAGUUUCUGAGGAUAGAUAAAUGAGAUCAGGAGCUUCAGUAGCUGGAUAGAGCAUAGCUAGAAAUUGUAGCUUCAUAGACUGAGGCCAGAGGGUUAGUAGAGAAACAAAAUCCAUUAUUUUCCAGUAGCUUCAGUGAGAAGCCCUGAUUCAUCAACCUAGAAAGAGGUUUCUAGUGAAGUGCACAUAGAUCACCCUUAGUACUGCUGUGUUCAAUAUACUCAUCGACAACAUGGAUUACAGCAUACAUACUCAUCAUUAACAGAAUCAAGAUCUAGAAAAGGUCUCAACAGGCUACGACAAGCCAAACCUAAUAAGGUGAAAUUUAAAAGGCAUUCAUGUUAAAAUCCUAAGUUAGUCUUUCAAAAUAAACUUCAUAAGUCGAGAUGGAGGAUACUGAACAGUUCACGUGAAAAACACCUGAAAGUGUUAAUGGGCUACAAGAUCAGUAUGUCAAUAGUAGCCCCAACAGAGAUAAUGCAAUAUGAGGCUGCUUUCAAUGGCAGCACAGUGUCCAGAACGAAGGAAAUGAUAGUUUCAGUAUUCUCUACUUCCAUUAGCUUGUUAUCUGUGGUACUAUGCCCAGUUCUGGAGGUCAUUUGUCAAAGACACUGCAGAAGGCUACUCAGCCUUCAUGUAUGUGUUGGGUAAAAUGGUCCCUUCCAAACUGUGAGACUCUAUAAUUCUACAGAGAGUUUGGGAGAUAAAUGAUUUGCCCAAACAAAACAAAGGCACAAAAGAGUUAAAUCUCCCUGUGGAAUUUGAUGUUAAAAUUCAAAGAAAUUCUACAACCCUCCUCUCCACGUACUUCCCCCUCACAAAAAAAAAAAAGCCAUUGAGCUAUUUCAUGAUUGUGAAGCUGAAGGAUGAGGACAAAUCAGAUGA